GCGCUUUGCAAGCCGCCAUUUUCCAAGAUGGCGGUGGGUAUACCCGGUUUGCCCAUCAAAUCCGCCCAGCCUACCCAUUUUGGAAAAUAGGCUACCCGGAUCACCCAUGGGCGACUAUUUUUGGCGACGAUCAGCAGGUAACCCGGGUUUUCGAGAACCGGGGCCGAGCCCUAGGCGCUCAAUGACCAAACUAAACAAUCGACCUCAGUUGGCAACAUCCGAACAUCGUGAUUAAGCUUACGAAUGAAAUUUGAAGCAAAGAUUCUGGUUCAGACACGUGUCUACUGCUGUACCAAAGUGUUUCGAUAGCUCAAGUUUAAUGGAAGACAUUUUUGGGAGGCGUAUCUGAAACAAUGUUUAAACUGUAGAUCAGCUAAAGAAGAAGAUGUAAGAAAAGAAAUGGCUGAGAAAAGGAAAUUUUAGCUGUAAGGACUGUACAAUACUGCAGAGGUUCCUGUUAAUUAUCUACUUCAUGUUUCGUUGUUUUUGGGAGCGUGGGAAAUGUGAUAUUUGCCACACACUCAAACAGACGAAUGAUAACAAGAACAUGGAGGAGUAGAGUGUUAUUUGUGCUGGAGCAGAUAAAGAAAUUAAAGUUGGACAUCAAAAACUAGGCUUUACUUCAUGCACAAUGUGAUUUGGUUACCAGCUGUGCAGAACAGACAUAGUCCAUCCUCAAAAAGCGAAGAUUAAAAUGAACUGGAAUUCCCAGAUGACCCAUUUUAGAGUAACUGGGUUCUCCAGAUCUGACCAGAACGUUGAUUACCGACCUAGCGUGGGGAACAAGAAAUUAACGUUUCGUCGAUCAUCCGUGAAUCGCAGACUUUUCCCCUGUGGAGAAGUCAAGGUUCUGCAACGUCCCCUCACAUCAGCCUGCUGAGUGUAAAAGACACCUCUGUGGUUGAAAACUAAAUAAGUUUGAAAAUUUACGCUGAACACUGUGCAGUUUUUAAGUGAAACUUUGAUUAUUGCUACGGCUUUGGUGUGAUGUGUUCCAUGAAUUGCGCAGGCGUCGCAAAUUAGCCGUGGUCAAUGGAUGAUUGGGUGACAGGUGAAGUGCAUUCAGCUAACCAUGGGAACGAGAGCGACGGCUCUACGGAAGUAAACCUCGGCUUCAACAAUCCGUCUGGCGUCGUGUAGAGCGUGAGCGGCAGCCACGGUCCACGCAAUGCUGUCAGGUUCGAUUUGAACGGCCUGGAUGUACACCUCUGCGGCUUCGUCAUGCCUCUUCCGGGCAGAUAGGAAUUCGCCUGUCAAAUUACAUGACGGCGGAUUGAUUUCUAUGCCGGAUCGGUACAGGUGUUCCUCGUCGAUCCAGUCGUUGUUCCUUUGGAUCGUUCGCCGUCCCGAAGCCAAUAAAACAAUCAGCAACGAAAAGCAGAUGAUUGUUCGAUUCGACUGCUGGACCAGUAAUUUUUGCACCCCGAUUCCGACGAGGAGACAGAAACCGACCGAAGUCUUACGGACGACCGUGACGAGAAUUGCGUAGAAAAUUAGCGUAGCCAUAUUGCGGAUGUCAUUGAUGCAAGUGACGGGCUGGAUGGCGUCCAUGGACCAAUCGAAACUGAGCCAUCGCGGAUACAGCAGCAGACCAAAAUGAAAUACCUAAGCUACUGGUAAAUAGAGAAAUGUGAGGGUACGAGUUGUCCAUGACGACGAUGCAGCUGUUGGGUUGUCCGCCUUAGCAAAUUGCGGUGUCUGGAAGCCGGAUAUCCAAAAGCGAUUGUCGAGGAUGGCCGUGAAUGACGAGGACGACGUCGUAAAGGAGACAGAUGGGCGUCAACAUGAUGCCGUACUCUUUGCUGAAGAAAGCGGCACAAGUCAAAACCAACGUCAUCGUUAAACUAGCCCGUCUACCGUAGUUGACAAGGCCGGCUAGGACGAAGAAAGUGCAUAGCAAAUCUGCCCGUCCGACCAAUCCAGCCACAGCUUCGCAAUGGAUCGGGAAUAAUGUUGAUGCUCCUCCGGCUAUGAUGGUCACCGCUGCAGUAAUCACACAGUGAAGCAAGACGUUUGUCCAAUGGUACCAAUAGGCAUGAUUUACUCCGACCAGAUGUGCGGUCCAGCGAAAUGAUAGCGUUACCAAAGGGCGGUACGAUCCGUGCGAUUCGGAAGCGUUGAGCGGAGUGCCCCAAAAGUCAUGCACCAUCAGAGCGCUCAUGGUGGACGACUCGGAAGCAACGGUUUAUGGUUGUCUAAUAAAACGAAAAAGGAGCAGCCGUGGCAGUGAUACUGUGAUGAGCAUUUAGAUAUCAGUUAAACGGCCGUACAAAAUACGCAACGGAAGGCCACAGUCGAAGAAUGCUCUAUGGCUAGCGGAAUAAAAAUAUUUCCUCUUGAAUAUAUCAUAGCCGGCAGCGGAAAAAAAAUGGCUCGUGUGGAGAAUUGUUGUUGCUGGCAUUCGAUUGAGACUAAUCAAAAGGUAUGCCCCAGGCUGUGAUGAUCGUCCUAUCACGUCGCCUGAACGAACCCUGCAGGCAGUUUCCCGUCAACGCCGUUGAGUGACGAGGAUAGAAUUUCGUGGGAAAGUUCUGUUGGCCGCCAAAUUCGGUGACAUCUAGGGGAGAAGCCAGCAACUCCUUAAAAGUUACAUUGGCAUGUCAUUCACUGUCGCCUGCCGUUGACUGAGGAUGGUGGUCAAAAUGGAUGUCGCCUUCAUUGAAAUUUAUCAUCUACCGAUUCUGUUUGUCUAGAGUUUGUAACUAUAUUUCUAGGUCUCCCAGAUGUACCUGACUGUGUUGGCCAUGUGAUCACCCUGUGCCAGAAACGACUACAACUAUUUUUAUAUUGUAGUGUAAAUAAAAUAUAUCCACAACAA